rnacentral:rRNA from 1 species
AGAGUUUGAUCCUGGCUCAGAUUGAACGCUGGCGGCGUGCUUAACACAUGCAAGUCGUGCGAGAAAGGGGACUUCGGUCCCUGAGUAGAGCGGCGCACGGGUGAGUAACGCGUGGAUAAUCUCCCCAGAAGUUCGGGAUAACGGCGGGAAACUGCCGCUAAUACCGGAUACGCUCCAAUUUCGGUUGGGGGAAAGGCGGCCUCUGUUUACAAGCUGUCGCUUCUGGAUGAGUCCGCGUCCCAUUAGCUUGUUGGUGGGGUAAUGGCCUACCAAGGCUACGAUGGGUAGCUGGUCUGAGAGGAUGAUCAGCCACACUGGAACUGAAACACGGUCCAGACUCCUACGGGAGGCAGCAGUGGGGAAUAUUGCGCAAUGGGGG